rnacentral:rRNA from 1 species
AACUUUCAACAACGGAUCUCUUGGUUCUGGCAUCGAUGAAGAACGCAGCCC